GGGGAAUUUUCCGCAAUGGGCGCAAGCCUGACGGAGCAAUACCGCGUGAGGGAGGAAGGCUCUUGGGUCGUAAACCUCUUUUCUCAGGGAAGAACACAAUGACGGUACCUGAGGAAUCAGCAUCGGCUAACUCCGUGCCAGCAGCCGCGGUAAUACGGAGGAUGCAAGCGUUAUCCGGAAUGAUUGGGCGUAAAGCGUCCGUAGGUGGUUAUGUAAGUCUGUGGUUAAAGCGUGGGGCUCAACCCCAUAAGGGCCAUGGAAACUACAAGACUUGAGUAAAGUAGGGGUAGAGGGAAUUCCCAGUGUAGCGGUGAAAUGCGUAGAGAUUGGGAAGAACACCGGUGGCGAAAGCGCUCUACUGGACUUAAACUGACACUGAGGGACGAAAGCUAGGGGAGCGAAAGGGAUUAGAUACCCCUGUAGUCCUAGCCGUAAACGAUGGAUACUAGGUGUUGCCCGUAUCGACCCGGGCAGUGCCGUAGCUAACGCGUUAAGUAUCCCGCCUGGGGAGUACGCACGCAAGUGUGAAACUCAAAGGAAUUGACGGGGGCCCGCACAAGCGGUGGAGUAUGUGGUUUAAUUCGAUGCAACGCAAGAACCUUACCAGGGCUUGACAUGUCUAGAAUUCUGCGAAAGUAGAAAGUGCCUUCAGGAGCUAGAACACAGGUCGUGCAUGGCUGUCGUCAGCUCGUGUCGUGAGAUGUUGGGUUCAGUCCCGCAACGAGCGCAACCCUCGUUGUUAGUUGCCAUCAUUCAAUUGGCACUCUAGCAAGACUGCCGGUGACGAACCGGAGGAAGGUGGGGAUGACGUCAGUCAGCAGCCCUUACGCCUGGGCUACCCACGUACUACAUGCUUCGGACAAGGGCAGCCACCUGCGUGGUGUGCAAUCCCCUAAAGCGGGGGUCAUUCCAAUUGCCGGUGUGCACGCCUCACGAAGGAGGGGGGAUCGCUUUGAGUCACCAGGUAAAAAAAUGGGGGGUGUUCCGUUUCCGGGCACUAUACCCCCCCCCCGGCACACCCAGGGGAGUUGUCCAGGCGGAGAGAGUUUAUUCUAAACCCCUAGAAAGAGGAAUCCGAAAGGAGGGGGUGAAGUCUGGGGUGUAGUCGCAACAAAGUAGCGCUACCCGAAAGGGGUGGCUGGAUCCCUCCUUUUGGAGACCCUCAACAUGUGGCCGAACCACACCGGAAAAGUCACAUGUUGUUUCCCAAGGUCUAGGGGUUUGAAAAGAGGACUUCAAACUUUAUUUUUUAAUUUAGCUUUUUUUGGGUAUAAGCUCAGGGAUAGAGCACACCCCUGAUAAGAGGGCGGUCUUUGGUUCAAGUCCCGGAAAGCCCACUUAUCCAAGGCAAAUGGUGAACACUAACUAGUCAACUUAAAUGGUGAUAGUGGGUUAUUGAAACUCGGGGGUUUAGUUCAGGUGGUAGAGCGCCUGUUCUGCAAGCGGGAUGUUAACGGGUCGUGUCCGCUAACCUCCCUCGGGGGCCCCAACAACAAAAGUUAGAGCACUCAACUAGAAUAGACACCGCCAACACCGGAAAUGAAUUCAGCGCCUAUAAAUUGAGUAGUUUGCUGGGCUCACAAGCCCACUUCGCACCCUGACAAAUGCAUAAUAAUCAACAGUCAGGUAGUCGUAAUGUAAGUUACAGACAAUCCAAACAUAAAUCAUUGAAACUUGUGAGGUAAGUUUUAGGUUCGAUUAGUUAAGUAACCGCACCGAAGACAACCCCCCAAAGCGGUCCAGCUACAAAGGGCUUUAGGCGGAACCCAGGCACACAAAAGCGAAG
rnacentral:sRNA from 1 species